rnacentral:rRNA from 1 species
AGAGUUUGAUUCUGGCUCAGGAUGAACGCUGGCGGCGUGCUUAACACAUGCAAGUCGAACGGGGCGGCGGGGAGGAAUCCCUUCGGGGAGGAGACCCCGCGGCCUAGUGGCGGACGGGUGAGUAACGCGUGGGCAACCUGCCCCAUACCGGGGGAUAACAGCCGGAAACGGCUGCUAACACCGCAUAAGCGCUGGGGGCCGCAUGGCUCCCAGCGGAAAACUCCGGUGGUAUGGGAUGGGCCCGCGUCUGAUUAGGCAGUUGGCGGGGCAGCGGCCCACCAAACCGACGAUCAGUAGCCGGCCUGAGAGGGCGGCCGGCCACAUUGGGACUGAGACACGGCCCAGACUCCUGCGGGAGGCAGCAGUGGGGAAUAUUGCACAAUGGGGGGAACCCUGAUGCAGCGACGCCGCGUGGGCGAGGAAGUAUUUCGGUAUGUAAAGCCCUAUCGGCAGGGAAGAAAAAAUGACGGUACCUGAAUAAGAAGCACCGGCUAAAUACGUGCCAACAGCCGCGGUAAUACGUAUGGUGCAAGCGUUAUCCGGAUUUAC